UUACACUGUACUAACCUUUAUUAUAUUAUUUGCUAAUAACAAAUUGAUUUUUCUGAGUAUUAUGUACUGAAUUAGCAACAUGUUAGCUACGUUUGCAUUCAACGUAAGUUUAGUUUAUUUUAGCUCAAAGAGGGCUUGUGUUAAACUAGCAUGGUUAUUUUGCCGUUGAUAUUUGCUGACUGCAUUAUAAAAUGUUAAUCUGCAAUAUUUGCAAUAAAACCUGCAGCAAUUCCUUUACGCAUGUCAGGCACAUGCGGAUGCAUAGUUUUUUGCCUAAUGCAACGUUUAAGUGCGGUUUCCCUCAGUGCACAAGAGUUUUUUCAAAAUUUUCAGCCUUUAAGUGUCACACAUAUGGUCAUAAAUUUGGAAAGAAUAAGACUUAACUGCAUAAAACUGAUGAUUUAAUGUGUCACGUUGACUUUUGUAGCUCAAAGUGUGAGGAUAUCCGGGGUCUAAUCUUAAAGAACAGACUCCGAACUUCAAAAGUGCCUGGACAACUGCAUCAGAGGCCAAGUGAUUCUUAUGGAUGCACACAAUUUAACCCUGAACUGCCACCAGAAGAAACAUAUGAAACACUGGAGCAGAAGAGGCAACAGUUGGAGACCAUUUAUAGACAAGAAGGUAUUCGCAGUGGUGAGAAGGGGGAAGUGAUUAACCUUAUGAAAACAACAUUCUGUCUUCAGCGUAGACACAUAAAUCAGGCUCCAUCACCGUCCAUCGAAGAUAUGAGAAUCCAGUGGCCUUACCUUUUUACACAAAGAGGUAUCUUCAUUCACUUCGAGUUACUAACUGACAUUAACGUGUUACGUGUCUUGGACCUAUCCAUUAAGGAAUGUGGACAGGGAAUCAGGAAGUACCUGCAGACCAAAUCAAAGAACAAAGAUGUGCAGUCUAUCGUCACCCAGGAUGAAGAUGGAGAGUUGACUCUAAUACAGCUGCUGAUGGCCUACUUCGAUGAAGGGAUAGAGGGACUAAUACUCUGUGCUGAUAUAUCUGCCACGGCAGCAGAUGUUGAGAGCACCCUGACCAUCCCCGCCUCUCCACGACUGAUACUGCUGUUUGCCGGUGAUGAAGCCAGAAUUGGAGGAUGGAUGAUCACCAUCGAAAAUCAUGUAAUCUGUGAAGGUGUCGACCAAAGCUUCAUCACAGGGCUAGCUGCAGUUUUCUCUACUUACUACAUCUUUAAUCUACAGUACCAAGAAGAAGCUUCAAGGACCCUGGAGUUUGUACAAAGGCGCUUCAUUGGUUUGAAUCCAGAGAGAGGGACAAAGGCCAGCCAGGUGAAGGUGAUCUCCAAAAAGAAGGGGAAACUUGUCCAUAAAAAGACUGCAACUGUGAAUGUCCACGUAGCCAACCUGAUAAAAAAUCUUUUGGACUUUGAGUGGGGUUUUGUGCAGUAAUACAAAGCCAGUACAGCUGAUGUUCAACAUCCUGUUUCAGAGCUGAAGUCGCUGCUGUGCUCUGCAGUUGAGUGUUAAUGCAAAGUCAGUACAUUGUUCUGCAUUUGAGUGUUCAGUUGAAGUCAGUGCAGUAUUCUGCGAUUGAGUGUUAAUGCAAAGUCAGUGCAUUGUUCUGCUGUUGUUUUGUUUUGUUGAAU